UGGGGAAUCUUAGACAAUGGGGGAAACCCUGAUCCAGCCAUGCCGCGUGUGUGAAGAAGGCCUUCGGGUUGUAAAGCACUUUUGUUGGGGAAGAAAAGCACUGGGCUAAUACCCUGGUGUCAUGACGGUACCCAAAGAAUAAGCACCGGCUAACUUCGUGCCAGCAGCCGCGGUAAUACGGAGGAUGCAAGUGUUAUCCGGAAUCACUGGGCGUAAAGCGUCUGUAGGUGGUUUAAUAAGUCAACUGUU
rnacentral:rRNA from 1 species